AAAUGUUAGCUGAAUGUUCACUCAGGCACAAGCGUGGGAGGGAUUCUUCCAGUAAUUAGUUACCUUAUCUAGAUAAUCUCUUAAUUACCCCAAAUCUCAACUGUAAAAUAAAGGAAAAAGGACUGAAAAAUCUCCAAAACUUGUGUAUAGUUCUAAAAUUCUGUGAUUCCAUUUUACCCUUCGUAUUUAGAGAAAAUCAUUGUUUACCAAAUUUUCUAGAAUCCCAGGGCAAGUCAUCGUAUUUUGAUUUGGAAAAAAAAAUCUUGAUAUUAGUUGGCAAGAGAAGUAGGCAACGUUAGAGUAGAAAUUUCUUAAUUUGUUCAUUAAUUUUUCAAACUUGAUGUGCGUGAUGAAGAUAAUUUUUAAGAUUCAUGGAUCUUGAUUUUCAAACUAGAAUUGCAGGUGUGAAUGAGAAGAUCCUGAUUCUCACACCUGGGUGAAAAGCAGCCCCCAUACCACUUUACACAAAAGAGAAAGCCAUCCAGUGUUAAGGUGGCAGCGCUUUUCAUUGAGUGGGGAGAUCUGAUACAUACUCUGCACAAAUAAAGGGCACAUUUUAAGAAUUUCCCAGCACAAACAUGUACAACUGCUUGCUUUUCUCAGGCUUUCGUUUGUUCUGGGAGAACAGUGAGGACUUAACGUCCUCAAGGCUGGGAUUUGCUUUUUUGUAUUUGCCCAAAUGUUCAGGCCUAGCUUGGAGUUUGUUUUGGCCCUGUCUCUACAGGGGUGUCAAGCCAUUGCUAAGCAGGGGACAAAUGGGAAGAAAGCUUCGCAAAACCUCUCACGACCAACUUGUUUGAAGCUCUGGUUGUAUCAGCAUUGAUGGGCUAAGAAUCCUUGUCUUCCACGUGGGUCAGUGGAUGUUAUUGGGCCCAGGAACAUUUCCUCCAUGUUUGUCAUUCAACCAGCGGGUCGCUAAAAGUAGGGAGUUUGGGUUUUAGCCAAAACUAAAAUGGACAUUUUCUCAUUCUUUGGUUAUGGUAUCUUGAAGCAGGUUUGGCAGCCAAGACUGUUUAGGCUCCAUUUUCUCUACUUUGUAAGUGCUCCAUCUAGCACUUGUUACACACGAUUUCACCCUAGUUUUGUAACUACUUCAACUGUGCAGCCCUCAUCUCCUCCCAUUGAGAUUUGUAACUGGGCAGAAACUGGGUUUUCAACACAGGUACUGUACCCAAAUAGUAUUUCUAAAGUAUACAGAAAUAGUCUCGUCAGGGUGAUGGGAACAUGGCCCAUUUAAAAUUUUUUCUUUUGGAGUUCCUGUCAUGGCGCAGUGGAAACAAAUCUGACUAGGAACCAUGAGGUUGCAGGUUUGAUCCCUGGCCUCGCUCAGUGGGUUAAGGAUCCGCUUUCCUGAGAUAUAAUCUAUAUUAAAUGAAAUUCCUCUGUUUAAAGGGAAUAGUUUGAUAAAUUUUGACAACUGUCACAGAGCCACUUCCACUAUCAAGAAAUGUACUAUUUUCAUUACCUGCCCACGUUUCCCCCUGGCCCCUUGCUGUUCAUUCUCUUCCUCUAUCCCAGGCCCAGGCAGUCACUGAUCUGCUUCUUGCCAUUAUAGUUUGGCCUUUUCUAGAAUUUCACAGAAGUGGCAUCAUGCAGUACAGAGUCUUAGGUCUGACUUCUUUUAUUAAUGUGUUAAUAUGCUGAAUUAAAUGAAUUGAUUUUCACAUGUUAAAUGAGUAAAGUGUUCCUGGGAUGAACUAUACUUGCUUCAUGUAUAACUGUCCUUACACUGAUGGAUUCAAUUUGUUAAUGUUUUGUGAAGGAUUUUGUAUCUAUGUUCAUGAGAGCUACUUGUCUGCACUACUUUCCUUCGAAUGUAAUCUCUGGUAAUGUUUUUGCCUGGUUUUUAAACUUUUUUUUACUUUUAUUUUUUGUCUUUUGUCUUUUUAGGGCCUCAGCUACAGCAUAUGGAGGUUCCCAGGCUAGGGGUCCAGCUGGAGCUACAGCUGCCAGCCACAGCCACAGCCACAGCAACAUGGGAUCCGAGCUGCGUCUGUGACCUACACCACAGCUCACAGCAAUGCCAGAUGCCCAACCCACUGAGCAGGGCCAGGGAUUGAACCUGAAACCCCAUGGCUACUAGUCGGGUUCGUUGACCACUGAACCACGACGGGAGCUCCCUUGCCCGGUUUUAAUAACAGAGUAAUGCUAGCUAGCCUCAUAGCAUUUUGAAUUAGGAAGUAUUUUCUCCUAUUUAAUUUUCUGGGAAAAUUUGUGUAGAAUUGAUUUUAUUUUUCCUUAAAUGUUGUGUGGAAUUCAGUGAAAUCCUCUAGGCCUGGAAUUUUCUUUGGGAUAAGGUUUUUGAUUAUGAAUUACAUUUAUUUAAUAGAAAUAAGGCCGUGUGUGUUAUUAUAAAUGUUAUUGUGUUAAGAGCUGGAUUUUGCUGUAUGACUUUUAAGAGCGUUGGACCUUAUUUAAAGUUAACUUGAGGUGAAGGCACUCGUAGACAACUUGAUCUCUUUGAGGCUUGCCUUUUUCUUUUCUUUUCAAAGGUAGAUUUUGUUCUAGGACGAAACUAUUAAACUACUAAAGCAUGGUUCAUCUAAAGACUCUACUCCAUGCUCUGUGGUAUGCUGGUAAAUAUUUAACAACGGUUCUCCAAGAAAAAAAUACAAAUCUGAUUCAUAUUGUUAGUUUACUUCCUAUUAUAGCCAGUUUCAAUCUACCAGGAUAACAUCAAACAGCUCUCAAAAUCCCCAGAAACUUAGCAAUCAGCUGUCUCAUGUUUAUGCAAUCCAGCUCCAACACACCACCAUCAAUGAAUGCCUCCCAGGGUUCACCCUGAUUGGUCAAAAUAGGAACUAUGGUUAGCUUUGAGCAAAGCUCCCGAAAUUGCUUUGUCUACUGCUAUCUGGUGGUUCUUCCCCCAGCCUCAUAAAAUGUCACUUCCUAUGUGUGUGACUAAGCCUUCAGCCAGACUCAAGUAGACCCUUCUGCACAUCCCCAGGGCUCUUUGCACAUGCUCUCCCUCCGUAUGCAUCCAUGCUGCAAAUACUCCCUCCAGUCCUCCAGUGUGUGUUGACUUUUGGGACUUUUGCAUCAUCCUGGGUAGGUUUUUCCUUCUAUUCAGUCCCAUCUGCCCUUUCUAGCAGAGAUUCUUCCCAGAUUUUGGUUUUAGAGUUCCAAUCAGCAUUCAUUUUCAUUUUUGUAUUCUUCUAAAUCUCCUUGGAUGUUCUAAUGCGAAACCUGGGGAACCAUGAUGAGAGACUAUGACCUGUUGCUAAGGGACUGUUAUUAUAUUAGGAUGCUAGUGUUACCAAGCGCUAGGGUUGGUUCUCUAAGGGGACAUUCCCAUUAUAGUUUUAGAGCCUGUGUCAACGCAGUGUAAACAAGAGAAUCACGCAAAAAUGAAAACACAGUGAUUUUCAGUAUUUUCACCACCAAUGACCCCUUUUAUUUUUUCUUCUCCCUUCUGCAAACCAGGUCUUAAGGGACCUCAUACACAAAUUUAUUUUUAAUUAUUAAAAAUUAAUUUGAGAUAGGCCAUUGCCAAGUAGAGUUUCUGAAUAGCAUAAACUGUCUGGUUGGAAUUCAUAUAAUUUAGCUAAAAGCAAAAAGUCGUAAUGAGCACUUGGUGAGACCUGACUGUAUGCCAGGUGCUGCUCUAAGUGCCUUCCUUGCAUCGGAGGAGGAAAUUCUCACAAUCAUCAUACAAAGACCACGCUGUUGCCACCAUUAUUUCACUGACGAGGAAACUGAGGUUCAGAGAGGUCGAGUAUACAGGACAAGGUUUCAGAGCUAGUGAGUUGUGGAGCCGCACUGAAUUUCAGACUGUCUGGCUCCGGCCUCUAAAGGCUCAAACCUGUGCAAUGCAGAGUUGACACUUGAAUAGGACCAUGUGAUUACCUGAGCGCAAAUGACCAAUUUCCACUAGACUUUCUGAAACAGUGAAAACAGCACAGAAACAUCCAUUACUACCUUUGGGGACACGGGACACCUAAGUAGAGGGCUCGGCUCUAAAAUUUAUUUUAUUUAUUUUUUUCUUUUUUGACUUAUUUAAAUACAUGGAACUCCUGGGUCAGGGAUCCUUUAACCCAAACUGUGCCCAACUGGGGAUCGAACUUGUGUCCUGGUGCUACAGAGACAUCGCCAAUCCUGUUGCGCCGCAAUGGGAACCCUUGCUUUAAAAUUUAAAUACUGAUUAGUAUCCUGAGCUUUGCCUUGAACAAAUGUUGCACACUCCACCACUGGAUCUUUAGGGAACUCAAAGAAUGCUAAGAUACAACCCUGAUGUGGUAACUAGUCAUGUGGAGAAAUGGGGGCAGCUUCUCCAGUGUUCAUGUAAACUAACCAGAGUUUC
rnacentral:lncRNA from 1 species